AGCAGCCGCGGUAAUUCCAGCUCCAAUAGCGUAUAUUAAAGUUGUUGCAGUUAAAAAGCUCGUAGUUGAAUUUCGAGACUGGUUUAUUGGUCGUGCUUUUGUACGUACUGGUAUUAUUGGUUUCUCCUUUCUGACGAAUCAUAAUGCCAUUAAUUUGGUGUUUUGGGGAAUCAGGACUGUUACUUUGAAAAAUUAGAGUGUUUAAAGCAGGCUCACGCUUGAAUACAUUAGCAUGGAAUAACGGAAUAGGACGUUUGAUUCUAUUUUGUUGGUUUCUAGGAUCGACGUAAUGAUUAAUAGGGAUAGUUGGGGGCAUUAGUAUUCAAUUGUCAGAGGUGAAAUUCUUGGAUUUAUUGAAGACUAACUACUGCGAAAGCAUUUGCCAAGGAUGUUUUCAUUAAUCAAGAACGAAAGUUAGGGGAUCGAAGACGAUCAGAUACCGUCGUAGUCUUAACCAUAAACUAUGCCGACUAGGGAUCGGAUGAUGUUAA
rnacentral:rRNA from 1 species